CUGGCUCAGAACGAACGCUGGCGGCGCGUCUUAAGCAUGCAAGUCGGACGGUAAGGAAGGAGCUUGCUUCUUCCCUAGAGUGGCGGACUGGUGAGGAACGCGUGGGUGACGCACCCUCCGGACGGGGAUAGCCGGUAGAAAUACCGGGUAAUACCGGAUAAGAGCGCCUCCUUGGAGGGAGGCGGAGAAAGCGGCUUCGGCCGCGCCGGAGGAACGGCCCGCGUGCUAUUAGCUAGUUGGCGGGGUAACGGCCCACCAAGGCGACGAUAG
rnacentral:rRNA from 1 species